CCCUUAGAUGUCCGGGGCCGCACGCGCGCUACACUGAAGGAAUCAGCGUGGCUUUCUCCCUGACCCGAAAGGGUUGGGAAACCCGUUGAAUCUCCUUCGUGAUAGGGAUUGGGGCUUGAAAUUGUUCCCCAUGAACGAGGAAUUCCCAGUAAGCGCGAGUCAUAAGCUCGCGAUGAUUACGUCCCUGCCCUUUGUACACACCGCCCGUCGCUACUACCGAUUGAACGGUUUAGUGAGGGCCUCGGAUUGGUCUCGGCCCGCUCUUUACCGGGCGGCGCCGUUGGUCGAGAAGACGCUCGAACUUGAUCGUUUAGAGGAAGUAAAAGUCGUAACA
rnacentral:rRNA from 1 species